UUUUCUCACCAAAAUCAAUUAUUAAAAUGUCGUGAACAUACGGUAACAUGCAUACUUAAUUUUUCAGUACAAUUAUGGUGUCGUAUAUAGUACGACAUCAUUCACACCCAAAUCAAGUUCUCAAUACAAUUAUUGUCACACUAAUUGAUAACAUAUUGAAAAACUACUACAGCCUCGAACUAUCACUACAUUCCCCUGCAUUAGACCCAACUACACUCUUAUUUCCUGGAAAUAGUUAUGAAACAAAAAGGUGAGCAUAAAUAGUCCAGUAAAGAAUAUCAUGACUAAGAUAAAUAAAUUAUCAAUAGCUUUCAAUAAUAAUAAAUCAAAUCUUUAGAACAUAUGGUAGAUGAUAUAAGUUUUUAAUAAUUAAUUGUAACAGAAUGAUCAAUUCAUUAGAAGAGUUAAAUAAACCAUAAUGUCUACUAUCUUUUCGCAUUUGAAAAUUCACGAUCAAUAUUUUAUCUCUGUAACACUAAUCAACCGUUCCUUUUUGCGCUAGGCCAAAUAAAACUUUUAUCACGUCUUUGCCUGUAAUAUUCAAUGUCAUGAUUAUACCAAUUCACAGUUCCUAGUCAAUAGUCAUAAUCAUGUCAAUCAACAAUUUCUGGUCAUAAUCAUGUCGAUCAAUUAAUCUUUGCACGUAUACCAAAAAUAUUCAAUUGUAACACCAAUGACCACGAUCAUGCCAAUCAAGAAUUCAUCUUUGCACUCAAAUCAAAGAUAAUUUUCACCACAUUUUUUGCUACACAGGCAAAAACAAUCAAUAAUAAUACUGUCUUUGUACUUAGGUCAAAGACAUUUACAACAAUUUAGUCUUUGAUAGCAAUGAUAUAAAUGAUAGACAUAAAUAAAACAUAAAUAAAUAUAGCAUAAACAUUAACGAUUUUUUUUAUUUUAUUUAUCUAGAGUCCAAAUUGUCAACACGAUAUCCAGAAAUUCGAUUAAAGUUUUUGAUAGAAUAUAAAAUUCAAGAAAAAUAUAAGGUUCACAUUUCAAAUAUAAUGAUUAAAUUUUAAUAUGAAGAUUCAGGUAAAAAUAUCAGAUAAAGCAUAAAUCAUUAAAGAUAUUCUAAUCAUUUUCAUGAACCAUUUAAUGAUAAAGCUGGAGAACGAAUAAAUACUUUCUUAUCAUAAUAUAGGAGUAUGAAACCUUACCUUAAUAGGAGACUAAAUACUGCAAUAUUGUACUAGAAGAAUUUUGUAUUUUGGUGUGUGCUGGAUUCUUGGAUAUUCCUUUUAUUAUCCUUCUUUUCAUCUUUCUUAUUCUCACUCUUUAGUGUUGAGUACCAACUGAGUCAAUGCCAGUUGAUAAUUCAAUUUGAGUUUUCAUUUAUUUGAAUAUAGUUUUCUC
rnacentral:lncRNA from 1 species